UUAAAUUGAAGAGUUUGAUCAUGGCUCAGAUUGAACGCUGGCGGCAGGCCUAACACAUGCAAGUCGAACGGUAACAGGAAGCAGCUUGCUUCUUUGCU
rnacentral:rRNA from 1 species